rnacentral:rRNA from 1 species
UGAGGUACUGGAAGGUCCUCAGGCCGAAAGGGGCUCUGCCCGCCCGAGGAUGGGCCGGCGGCCGAUUAGGUAGUUGGUGGGGUAACGGCCCACCAAGCCGAAGAUCGGUACGGGCCAUGAGAGUGGGAGCCCGGAGAUGGACACUGAGACACGGGUCCAGGCCCUACGGGGCGCAGCAGGCGCGAAACCUCCGCAAUGCGGGCAACCGCGACGGGGGGACCCCCAGUGCCGUGGCAACGCCACGGCUUUUCCGGAGUGUAAAAAGCUCCGGGAAUAAGGGCUGGGCAAGGCCGGUGGCAGCCGCCGCGGUAAUACCGGCGGCCCGAGUGGUGGCCGCUAUUAUUGGGCCUAAAGCGUCCGUAGCCGGGCCCGUAAGUCCCUGGCGAAAUCCCACGGCUCAACCGUGGGGCUUGCUGGGGAUACUGCGGGCCUUGGGACCGGGAGAGGCCGGGGGUACCCCUGGGGUAGGGGUGAAAUCCUAUAAUCCCAGGGGGACCGCCAGUGGCGAAGGCGCCCGGCUGGAACGGGUCCGACGGUGAGGGACGAAGGCCAGGGGAGCGAACCGGAUUAGAUACCCGGGUAGUCCUGGCUGUAAAGGAUGCGGGCUAGGUGUCGGGCGAGCUUCGAGCUCGCCCGGUGCCGAAGGGAAGCCGUU